rnacentral:rRNA from 1 species
UACGUAGGCAGCGAGCGUUGUUCGGAGUUACUGGGCGUAAAGGGUGUGUAGGCGGUUGCUUAAGUUUGGUGUGAAAUCUCCCGGCUCAACCGGGAGGGUGCGCCGAAUACUGAGUGACUAGAGUGCGGGAGAGGAAAGUGGAAUUCCUGGUGUAGCGGUGAAAUGCGUAGAUAUCAGGAGGAACACCGGUGGUGUAGACGGCUUUCUGGACCGUAACUGACGCUGAGACGCGAAAGCGUGGGUAGCAAACAGG